UCCCCUCGUGUGUAGCUGCUCCC
rnacentral:piRNA from 1 species